UCCUGGCUCAGAUUGAACGCUGGCGGCAUGCCUUACACAUGCAAGUCGAACGGCAGCGGACCUUCGGGUGCCGGCGAGUGGCGAACGGGUGAGUAAUGCAUCGGAACGUGCCAUUGAGUGGGGAUAACGUAGCGAAAGUUACGCUAAUACCGCAUAUUCUGUGAGCAGGAAAGCAGGGGACCGCAAGGCCUUGCGCUCUUUGAGCGGCCGAUGUCAGAUUAGCUAGUUGGUGAGGUAAAGGCUCACCAAGGCGACGAUCUGUAGCGGGUCUGAGAGGAUAAUCCGCCACACUGGAACUGAGACACGGUCCAGACUCCUACGGGAGGCAGCAGUGGGGAAUUUUGGACAAUGGGCGCAAGCCUGAUCCAGCCAUGCCGCGUGAGUGAAGAAGGCCUUCGGGUUGUAAAGCUCUUUCAGCCGGGAAGAAAACGCAUGGGUUAAUACCCUGUGUGGAUGACGGUACCGGAAUAAGAAGCACCGGCUAACUACGUG
rnacentral:rRNA from 1 species